ensembl:lncRNA
AGAGCAGGGUUCAUUGCAACAUCCUCCACAUUUGGAGUGAGGCUUGAACGCUUCAAUCUCCCUCUGAUAACACUGUCCAGGAAAUGACAAAGCCUUUGCAAAACCAGCGCAAUGGAUCUUGGCUGGGUGAACCUCGGGUUGUUGCACAGAUUUUUUUUCUGUGGCUUUGCUGAAUCACAGCAAAACCCCACAACAUCCCACCACGGCUCUUCUCACCUCUCUGACACUUCUGCCACCACCUUUUCCACUGCAGCAGAUCCCAAGGCUCAGUUACACCCAGGUUUUCCCCACACUGGAGGAAUCUGAUUUUGAUGUCGCUGCUUCCAAGUUUAUUAAGUGACAGCCCGCUGGUUUUAGAAAGAAGCUCCCCCCAAAACGCAGUCCUUUUACCCGUGGGCUGCUGGCUGCUAUUUCUGCAGUGACCUCCAUAGCGUAAAGCUUUCUCCUGCAGCCAAACUCAUACUCAUCCAUCCCCUCUGUUUCUGCAGUCCUCUGCCUACCAAGGCAGAGAAAUCUGCUGCACGGCUUUGGGGUGGGCUGCCAGCUCCUUUUGUACCCACUGUCCUAAGUGCAAGCACUGAGUACAGACUUCUCUGCACUGAGCUGGAGAAAGAAAACACUGGUGUUCUUCCAGAGGUCGGACUGGUGGCAAGGAAGAAGGGAUGCUGUGAUGCUGUGCAUCAGUGCACUGGGCUGCUGGACGUGUCCAAAGUGCUGAAGGUGAUCCCAACAUCAGCCCUGUUUGGGGAGAUCUCCAUGCUGGAGGCAUCAGCACAGCCACCGGGAGGUGAGCCACCUCCUGCCCUCCUCCAAGCACUGCCCCACUGCUGGGCACAAGCCUCUACCCAUGCACAUGCCAGCAGGCUCCUGAGCCGCUCUGUUCUUCCUGCCAUGACGCUUUCCAGGCAGAUGGUUCCAGGUCAGGGCUGCCCAACACUUCUGCCAGCGCGGGAGUGUGAAGGGCUGGGAAUGAGCAGCUGAGGGCGAGGGGCCCUGCUGCAUCACGGCCGGAUUAUGGCAGCUUAACACAUCCAUCAGAACCCAGACAGCCUGGCUGCAGGGGUGGUGCAGGGAGGCUGCUGGGGAUCGGCACAAUUGCACAGCUUUGCGGGAAAAGGUACCAUACCCCCAGCAUCCCCUUCCCAGAGGGGAUCCCAGGCUUCAAGCUGCUCCCACAUCACCUCUGCAUCCCCUGGGUCUGUGUCCAGCACGCUGGGAUGGCGUCAGACCUAUCUGCUCCGCAACCAAGGGUGAGGCAACACGGUGGAAAUGGCUUUGCUGGCUGAUCGUGUUGCUUGCUUUGUCAGCACUCAGAAAAAUGCUGCACACAAAAAUGUGCCCUCCUCAGCAGCUGGGAGCAGCGACGGAGCCUCGUGGCUCAUGGAAAUACCCUGCCCUGCACAUCUGUGUUUAGGCAGCGUGAUUCAGCAGCCCUGGAUGUCACCCAUCCCAUCGGCCUUGUAUCUCUGAGCAUCUCCAGGGGCACGUCACACAGCUCAGGUCUUCUCUGCAGCAACCAUGACCACGGUGGAGAUACAUGCAUCCCUCCAUGGCCGUCCCUGGGCUCUGCCUGCAGUGGGAUCCCACUCCUCCUCCUCUGCCCUCUGGAAGGCAUUCACUGGUUCCUCCACAGUCUCAGUCCUUCCUGAUGAGCUCAGUGACACACCACCCACCUGCCACCAGAAAGGUUUUUAAAGCCAGUAGAAAGAACUGACCCAGCACGGAGCUCUUGGGAAAAGGCUUUGGGCUUCUCUUGGUUGCCAGAGAGCUGCAUCCUGCGCAAGAAACCUGAGAAGCUCCAGCUUUGCAAUGACUCUGCUGUGCGCUUGAGCUCCCGUGGAACCGUGAUCAAACCUUUGACAGGGAAGGCAGACCUUUCUGGUAGCUGUGGUAGAAGUGACAGCUUUGGCUGAUGCAAGAGCACGGGGAGUUCGUUAUCCCCAAAACAAUCUGAUGUGCUGGAAAACUGCUAAGUGUGGGG